rnacentral:rRNA from 1 species
AUAAUCACUUGGCCUUUAAUUGGGGUCUAGAAUGAAAGAGAGAACGGAAACUAACUGUCUUAUUUAAAUUAAUGUGAAUUUAUAGUGCAAGUGAAAAUACUUGCAACCUAAUAAAAAAGACGAGAAGACCCUUAGAAUUUUUAUAAAAUUUAUAUAAUUUAUAAUUUUAUUUUUGUUGGGGCAACAUAGUAGCAUUGAGAGAUAUAAAUAAUUAAGAAUCUACUUAUGAUUAAUUAAUAAAAUUAGCCGAUUUGUAAUAAGUGUAACCAAAUUACCUUAGGGAUAACAGCAUAAUUUUUU